rnacentral:misc_RNA from 1 species
UUGACUAGUUUAGAAGCGUAUUCAGACGACGUAGGGUCUAAUAGAGCUAUCGUAAACCUUCGGCGGGCGCGGCAAGAGCCAGCGGCCCGCCGAAGCAACAGUUUCAGGUUCGCGUCGGGUCUGAGUGUGAAAACUCUUUAAUGAUCCCUCCGCUGGUUCACCAACGGAGA